rnacentral:rRNA from 1 species
UACGUAGGGUGCGAGCGUUAAUCGGAAUUACUGGGCGUAAAGCGUGCGCAGGCGGUGAUGUAAGACCGAUGUGAAAUCCCCGGGCUUAACCUGGGAACUGCAUUGGUGACUGCAUCGCUCGAGUAUGGCAGAGGGGGGUAGAAUUCCACGUGUAGCAGUGAAAUGCGUAGAGAUGUGGAGGAACACCGAUGGCGAAGGCAGCCCCCUGGGUCAAGACUGACGCUCAUGCACGAAAGCGUGGGGAGCAAACAGG